rnacentral:rRNA from 1 species
UACGAAGGGGGCUAGCGUUGCUCGGAAUCACUGGGCGUAAAGCGCACGUAGGCGGUCUUUUAAGUCAGGGGUGAAAUCCUGGAGCUCAACUCCAGAACUGCCUUUGAUACUGAGAGGCUUGAGUCCGGGAGAGGUGAGUGGAACUGCGAGUGUAGAGGUGAAAUUCGUAGAUAUUAGGAAGAACACCAGUGGCGAAGGCGGCUCACUGGCUCGGUACUGACGCUGAGGCGCGAAAGCGUGGGGAGCAAACAGG